rnacentral:rRNA from 1 species
GAAAAGAACUUUGAAAAGAGAGUCAAAAAGACCGCAAAACCGUUAGGAGGGAAACGAAUGCAGCUGAAGCGGUGCCUCGUUGGGCUCAGGGUGCCGGCGCGGGGUCCCGGCAGACUGCGGAAGCCUUGUGGCUCCGCUGGUCUCGUCGGGGGCUCUCGUGUCGGCCCUGCACUUCCGCGAGGUGCCGGCCAACGGCGGUUGCCUUCGGCUCGGCGGGCGUCUGGGGAGGUGGCUCUGCGCUUGCGUGGAGACCGUACAGCCCGGGCGCGCGGCAGUUCGGGGGCGACCGAGGAGAGCGUUGCGGUCCUUCGCACGCUGCGGCGCGGGCCGACUCUGGUCGGCUGCGGCCCCACGUUGGGAGGUCUCCCGCUCGUGUGCACUGCGUGCAGUGCCUGGAGACGGCCGAGGUCCUUCCGGUCGUGGAGGUGCGACAACUCGCGCCGAGGUCGUUGGCGUCCGAAUGGCUGCAUCCGACCCGUCUUGAAACACGGAA